GGCAAACCUAGGCCUGCGCUAGGGCGCCUCGUCAGCCUUUCGCCGUUCCCGGUCUCCUGCCAAGUUCCCCCAGAAUUCGCACGGCCACACGGCCCGCCGCUUCCCGCCGCCGGAGCGAGCAAUCCUCGGAAAAGAGGUGGAAUGCGCUGCCCACGGCGGGCUGGGCGGGGGAAGCCGGUCUGCUCUCCAGGAAGACACCGAGGUUAAGCCCUCUGAAGCAAGCCCAGGGUGAGAAAAGCCUCUUUUAUUCGCCCAAGGGGCUUCUGGGCCACUUGGACAGAGGCCCAGGUUCCUGUCUCGUCCCCCCGCCCCGUCUUCUUGAAAAGCUUUUGAAAGGAACCGGAGAGGACGCUGCAACAGCCUGCUCCGGCCGGGGAGCAGGCGGCGGCCAGCAUUUCACUCCCACGGACCAUGGCAACCCCAGGAACUGCAAGCCUUGGCCGGGACGUGCGCUGUCAGGGGGGCCCGGGCUUCCUCCCCCUUCCCGAUGGAAGGGGACCAUCUAGAGGAUGACCUCCGCGGCUGACCUUUAUUCAAAGCACAGUGCUGCCCGGACCUCAGGCUCGCACAGAGCUGGGGAAGGAACCACGCUGGAAACGAGGAAGUCCGGAAAGCAGGCGUGGAUCUGCGGGCCUCCCCGCCAUUCCUGUCUUGAAGGACAAAAUAUUCUGGGACCUAAUUCAACAUCGCCCUAAUGAACGAGCUGCACGGUGAGGUGACGGUAGUGCCCAUGGAUGCAGGAUCCAUGUUCCUGAUCUGAAAGGAGUGGUGUAUUUUACUCACAGUUUAUAGAGGCUUUGGUCCACAGUCAGUGUCUCCAGCGCUACACGUCAAAGGCUAGCUUAUGGCAGCAGGAGCAGAAAGAUCAAGAGGGGAGGAGGGAGAUCAACCCUUCCAGACCACGCUCCCAGGGACCUACCUGCAGCCCAGGCUUCACCUCCCAACAUCGCGUUUAGUUCUAAACUCAUCGGAGGACUACUCCAAGUCAAAUGCAUUCUCACAGGUGGUAGAAUUCUCAGCCGGCCCUGAUCGUCCUAGAGCACUUCGCAGUAGACAUGUGGUUUUGUUUCAAGCGUUGGUGAAGGAACCCAGGGCCUCCACAUGCUACAUGUUUAAUACAGGACACACAAUUUACAGGUUUGUUUUAUAAUAGUCACCCAAAGAGUCAAAUGCAGAGGAGGGCAAAAGCUCUGUCCACACACCACUAGAGACCCAAAGAAUCCAGCCAAGGGCCUUGAUCCCAUGGCAGUGUCCUGCUCAAGUCCAGCUGAAGGUUGAAAGCCCAAGGCAGCAUCCUCCAGAAGUCCAGCCAGAAGCCUGGAGCCCAUGGCAACAUCUCAUGUCACAUGGAGGGUCUGCACUGGGAAGGCCCAAAGGCCAGUGGUGGAAGCCAGAAAGCCUGGCCGGCAGAGCGAAGGGUCUGUGCCACCAGGCUGAGGGAUCCACACUGGAUCCAGGAAGUGACAUUCAAGGUGAAGAUCAGAGCUCCCUGACACAACAGCCAUUCCCCGGGGACAGCGAGGACCUCCAAACAGUGGAGUUCAUAUCAGGAAAACCAGCCUCGGUGUGCUUCUCCAAGAAAAUAAACAACAUGCAAUCUUCCCUUCCAGUUCUCUUUUUAUGCCAUUGGUAAUAAUCCUCAGGUGGGGCCUGCAUGCCCAGAGCCAUGCUAACUCAGCUCAGCUGGUUCCAAGUUCACCAUUAGUCAGCUCACCACACUAGGCAAGCCCUCUGCCAUGGAGCUCUGCCCCAGCUCUAGAUUCGGGGUAGGGACCAUGGACUGCCCCUCUAUUAGUUAACCAUAUUGUUUCUCUUCCCCUAGGUCUGGAAGUCUUAUUUAUUUCCUGUGGCUCCCAGCAAAGUGGAUGAAACAGGACAGGUUUCUAUUAUCAGCAAUCGAUCAUGCGACACAUGCACAUCAACUUGAACUUGAACUUGACCCUCUGGGCCAGUCAUGAAACAAAUUCUUGGAAGAGCAGUUUGUUCAUGCAGACCAAAUGGAUAAGAUUAGAGUGUUUAGAAAAUUCAGUGUGCUAAAAUUAGAACACAAGAAGGCCUCCUGACGUCCUCAACAUGCCCAGGAAUGAAGUAGUCCCACAAAGAACAUGAAUGAACUUGAAAUUUUACUCUGAACAUCAGGGUUCAGAAUUAAUUUAGAAAAUGGCUUCGAUUUAUCCAAAGUGAAAUUCAGUACGUGGUGAAGAAAAUUUAGGAGAGGGUAAAACGCAGAAUCGAGAGUUGGAAGCGGGGCGCAGUAGUACACACCUGUAGUCCAGCACUUUGGGAGACAGAGGCAGGAGGGUUGCGCGUGUGAGCCCAGGGUGGAAUUCAAACUCUUAAUCUGCGUUAUGGGUUGGAACUACAAAAUCCUGGAGGGUCUGCAAGGUGAUUGGAUCGCGGCGGUGGGGGAAGACAGCUGAUUUGCGGGUAAGAAGUGAGCCCAGUCGGAGGCGGGUCUCGGGGGCGUGGCCUGGAUGGUUUGUGUCCUUGGGGCUUCUCCCUUCUCACCCUGCUUCUAGCCCACCUGGCGUGAGCUGCGCCCUUCUCCGCCUCGCCUUCCUGCCUUGGAACCAGCCGACCAGGAACUGUAACCUACAAACCUCUCCUCCUUUGCUUGUGAAAGAGCAAUGAGAACAUCAACCAAGACCCUCCGUGCAGGAAUCCUCUGCCCUACCAAGACGUCCAGACCUCCAGGCAGGUGUGUCAGCACUGAGCACACCCCACCCAGCACCCCACCCUCGGUCACUGAGGAACAAGUAGGCUGUGUGGGCCUUUAAAUGAGUCACUCGCCCAACAGGACUUGUGCGGAGCGCUUGUCCAUGGGCCAGGCAUUGUUCUAGGCUGGGGGCUGUUUCAGGGGAGGAAGAGAUACCUGCUCCUGUGGACUUAGACUCUGGAGUGGGAAUGCGGACAGUAAAAAGUAGUGGAUGUUGGAGAGCAAAACGUGCUGUGAAGGGGAGAGAACAGAUUCCGGGGCUUGGGGAGUGGUGGUGUUUGUUUGUGAAAGAGACUGGCUAUGCGGCUCAGGUUGGCCUUGAACUUGAGGAGAUCCUGCUGCCUCAGCCUCAGAAGAAAUAAAAGC